rnacentral:lncRNA from 1 species
AAGGGUAUAUCUCUUCUGUCCAUUGUGUUUCCUACACUUCAGCAUAUUGGUUGCCAUUACCUUAUGGAGCUGACCUCAUUAAUAAAUAAUUGUAUGUCAUGGGCUGGCUGAGUGUGUUCUCCCUACAGACCUGUUAGCAAAAUGACCUGUUCCAGGUUACAAGUCUUUUCCUUCUCAAGGUAAGACAAACAAGGUACAUUUUAUUGAAAUGUUAGACUUCAAAUCUUUUUAUGUUAGACUUUACAUC